GGCACGAGGGAGCCUUCCGAUGGCCACCAGGCCUCUGGUCGAUCUGGGUGGGUUGGUUUCCCCUCCGUGAUAGAGAGAUCCAGAUUCGUGCCCCUGGCUGGGUGUGUUCGCUCCCUCUUGAUGGAAGCUGAAAGGGUCCUCUUCCUCCGCGUUCCUGCCGGGUAGACUGUCCGUCCGUGCCGACUGUCCGUCGUGCCUGUGCGAGGCGUGCCUUAGAUGGCUACAGCGUCCUCAAGUUUCAUCAGUUGGGGUAUAGUUUUUAUGUGGGGCACUCUGCAGCUGUGACGGUGUGGCACGGGCGGCGAGAAUGGACCUCUAUCUUUGUUCGAGGCUACUCAGCCUUUGCGUGGUCCUUUCGUGCAAGGCAAUUCUUCAUGCCCUACUGUAGGUCCUCCAGUCUUGCUUGCCUUACUAUGACUGUGCCGCUGAGGGCAUCCAAUCCAUCCCACUGACCGAGCUGUGGUGCCAACAUCGUCUCCACCGCUGCCCACACAUCAUGUGCAGGUGGACGUCGUGGAUAAGCUGCUUCGUCAACAGCGAGCUCAUUCGGCCAUUCGGUCUCACCGAUAUAUCCCUUAAAUACACAGGUCAGUUCUUCUCCGUCUGGUCUCCUGCGUCGGGUGACUGUGUUGGCUGUCCUUGCUGACCUCAAUCAUUACCUUCUCUCGGUUAAAUUUUUAUAAGGUAAUGCAAAGAGUUUUUUUAUUUUUUCAUAACAAAUUUGGAGAACUGAGAUUUGCUCCGAUGGUUUUAGCCAUGCAGACUGUCCCCAAUUUCGAAAUCGGUGUUAUCUCUGACUUGGAGGUUUAUAUUAUUUUCAGAUGGAUCCUCUGAUUACAUAUAUUAUGAGGUGAUGCCUGCAGUAGCUCAACGGUGAACGGUGUGCAUAUAAUCGAGUACUGAUAUCUGCCCCAACCAUAUGUGGUUUGUUAGUAUAAUUAAAUUUCAAUUGACCAUCGUGCUUACCUAUUAAUAUUCUGAGAAGCUUUGGAUGCCGCUGUGUUUUGAUGUUUCUUUAGUAUAUGUAGUUCGUAGUGUGUAGUUUCAGUUUAUGUAAAAGGCAUGACUAAGGUAGUCUGUGCUU